rnacentral:rRNA from 1 species
CGCUGACGAGUGGCGGACGGGUGAGUAAUGUCUGGGAAACUGCCUGAUGGAGGGGGAUAACUACUGGAAACGGUAGCUAAUACCGCAUAAUGUCGCAAGACCAAAGAGGGGGACCUUCGGGCCUCUUGCCAUCGGAUGUGCCCAGAUGGGAUUAGCUUGUUGGUGGGGUAACGGCUCACCAAGCCUUCGAUGGAUAGGGGUUCUGAGAGGAAGGUCCCCCACAUUGGAACUGAGACACGGUCCAAACUCCUACGGGAGGCAGCAUG